rnacentral:miRNA from 1 species
UGAGCUCAGGCACUUUGGUGG